rnacentral:tRNA from 1 species
CCCCGCGUAGCUCAACGGCAGAGCGAUCGGCUGUAGCCCGAUAGGCUGCCGGUUCAAAUCCGGCCGCGGGGA